rnacentral:rRNA from 1 species
CAGGCUGAUCUUCCCCAAGAGUCCAUAUCGACGGGAUGGUUUGGCACCUCGAUGUCGGCUCGUCGCAUCCUGGGGCUGGAGUCGGUCCCAAGGGUUGGGCUGUUCGCCCAUUAAAGCGGUACGCGAGCUGGGUUUAGAACGUCGUGAGACAGUUCGGUCCCUAUCCGCUGUGCGCGUAGGAGUCUUGAGAAGGGCUGUCCCUAGUACGAGAGGACCGGGACGGACGAACCUCUGGUGUGCCAGUUGUUCUGCCAAGGGCAUGGCUGGUUGGCUACGUUCGGGAGGGAUAACCGCUGAAAGCAUCUAAGCGGGAAGCCUGCUUCGAGAUGAGGACUCCCACCCACUUGAUGGGGUAAGGCUCCCAGUAGACGACUGGGUUGAUAGGCCGGAUAUGGAAGCACGGUAACGUGUGGAGUUGACCGGUACUAAUAGGCCGAGGGCUUGUCCUCAGUUG